rnacentral:rRNA from 1 species
GAUGAACGCUGGCGGCGUGCCUAACACAUGCAAGUCGAACGGAGUCCAGCCUUUAAGACCUUCGGGUCAAAGAGGGGAAGACUGAGUGGCGGACGGGUGAGUAACACGUGGGCAACCUGGCUCAUAGAGGGGCAUAACAGAGAGAAAUUUCUGCUAAUACCGCAUAAGCACACACUGCCGCAUGGCAGAGGGUGAAAAGAGAAUCGCUAUGAGAUGGACCCGCGUCUGAUUAGCCAGUUGGCAGGGUAAGAGCCUACCAAAGCGACGAUCAGUAGCCGAUCUGAGAGGAUGAACGGCCACAUUGGGACUGAGACACGGCCCAAACUCCUACGGGAGGCAGCAGUGGGGGAUAUUGCACAAUGGGGGGAACCCUGAUGCAGCGACGCCGCGUGAGUGAAGAAGUAUUUCGGUAUGUAAAGCUCUAUCAGCAGGGAAGAUAAUGACAGUACCUGAAGAAGAAGCCCCGGCUAACUACGUG